rnacentral:lncRNA from 10 species
UCUCCCCCAAAAUCUUCUUUGAAAUCUUGCUGCCAUUCCAUCACAUUAGCAAGUUGACACUGUGGUGAGGACUAAACUCUGAUUUUUUUUAUCUUGCCCAAAUUCCUAUCUAAGGGGUCUGGAGAGUCAUGCCCUACAAAUCAUAAAUUCUCAUCAGAUAGGUUUCAUUUAACCCUAUAUAUUGUGACUUACUUUCCAGCCUGACUCUGGCUGGCAUAACGUUAUGAGACAAGGAAGAAAAUAAAAAUAUUUUACCCCAAAACAUGUUUCUUUGCCAUAUUUUGAAAAGGCCCUGCACAAAGCUGUUUUUUGUGGGGGGAAAAUUUGCAUCUGUAAAGAAUGUCUAUUAUCGUAGCUAGAUCUUUUUCUUCCUGACCCUCCCAAUCCUAAAGAGAUGAACUAAGAUCUGAAUAGGAAACUUUUGUCAUCUAUUGUCUCUAAGGGCAGCCACUAUUAGACUUCAAAAGAACUUUUUCCACAAUCUUUACCUUAACCUGAACAUUCCCUUUCUAUGAAUCCCAGGUCUUUAGACAAACUCAACCAAUUGUCAACCAGAAAAUGUUUAAAUUCACCUACAGCCUGGAACCACCCCCUCCACCCCUUCCCCCUCCCCCACCUUUGAGUUGUCCCGCCUUUCUGGACCAAACCAAUGUAUUUCUUAAAUGUAUUUCAUUGAUGUCUCGUGCCUCUCUAAAAUGUAUAAAACCAAGCUGCGCCCUGACCACCUUGGGCGCAUGUUCUCAGGACCUCCUAAGGGCUGUGUCACGGGUCAUGAUCUCUCAUAUUUGGCUCAGAAUAAAUCUCUUCAAAUAUUUCACAGAGUUCAACUCUUUUCGUCGACAGUGGGAAGUGAUGGAGCAUCAGAGCCCAACAGACAGAUGGGGUUUCUCCUUUCUAACUACAUGAGGACGCCCGACCUCUUCAGGCCCUGUUCCCCUGGGAAUCGAUAAUAUCACAUCACAGUUUUGCUGAGCAGAUGACACUAAGAUCACAUAGGUGAGCACACCCGGCACACAGUAGGCACUUCACAUGCACUUGUUCCCUUCCCUUUAGAGCCAAGCCCUCUUGAAGAAACCCACCUGGAUCUGGUCACCAGUGACUCAGAAGCCCAACGUGCGUGCAGCUUACAGAACGGUCACACGCGAUCCUGUGUGUCAUGAUCUCGCUAUUCUUUCGGUUCUAGUGUUUUCCUUUAUUCACCCCCUCCUAGGUGUCUUUAAGCAGCUCUGCUCUCUGGUUUCCCCAAGCAGAGUUCCAUUUUCUCGGUACCUCUCCACAUGCCUGGAUGGUGCUCUCUAGCAGUGGUUGGGGCUGGCUGUGGUUUCUGAGCUUCUAAGAUCCCCCAGACCCCUGCUGGAAGUGAGUUCCUGCCUUGGGUGUGCCUGAGUGUGCUGAGUCGAAAGUCAUUUUUUUUUUUUUUUUUUUUUUUUUUUUUGCGGGGAACUGUGCGUGCACAACACAGCCAGGGAGUGACCUAGUCCAGGGAGCCUAGUCUCCCCUUAACACAGCAUGCGGAAGAAUAAAGACCCAGGCUCUAUCAUAAAAUGGGGGCAGGUAAAGAGCAGUUAGGCGAGGGGGCGUGGGCCGUCAGGGUAGGGGCCUCAGUAAACAGAGUUGAACAAGGGCCUCUCCCAGCUCCACCCUGGCUUUAAACCCCAUGGUUUGCAGUUCGGCUCCAGAGGCCUCCCAGUGACCCCAAUCUCAUUCCUCUCGACUCAACAGUGAUGGCGGAAGGCAGGAAGAUAAGCUGGACUCCUUGAAGCCGACACCCCCCAGGGAAAUUCCAUCACCCGCCUUGAGCACUGUAGACCGGGCUGGGCUGUCCCCCCUUGGAAGUAGGAAGCAGAGGGAAGACGGAGCCAGUGUCCUCCACCUGUUUGCAGACGCGCCUGUGCAGGAGGCAGGAGAGACUCCAAGCCCACUACCUACAGAGUCCUGGCUUCUCAAGUAAGGUUAAGUGCAGAGAAGGCACCAGAGUCCCUGGGAUCUGCUACUUUAACUGGGGAGACCUGUAAGUAACAUCGAAUUACUAGGUUCUCUAGUAAUCAUUUUCCCUCUGAAAAGAAUUCAAUGCCCAUAGGAGAUGGAGCUUCCGGUAGCCUGAAGCAGCCCAUCUGGGCCUGGAUGUUGUUUCGUGUGGAAGAUGGUAUUUGCAUCCUGGGGAAAGCAUCUUGGUGUCCAGGCUCUGGCUGUGGGGGUUAGGUGCCUGCAACACCCCCUCUCCCCUGUCAUCCCUCCUGAGCCAGGCAGGCCUUCAGCACUCCCUACCACUGAGACUAUAGACUGAGAAGUAACUCCCUGUCGCUGGGCCUCCAUGAUGUCGGUCUUCUGUACCUUACAGGCCUUGCCUCAGUGCUGCCCACCUUCAUGUCUGGGAGAGUCUUCAUUGAUUGCUGGGGACCAAAACCAACUUAGACUAGGGAUCCCAGUUCCAGCACCCAUGCCCAGGGCCCUUUCUUCCUUUAAAAUAGACGGCUGACUCUGGCCCUUCUUCACUGAUGGGCGAUGGCUUCCUGCACUGCUUUGUUUUCUUCUUCAUCCAAGUGUUGUCCUGUGAAUCUCAGAGUGUGGUCUUUGGACCAACGGCACCACCGUCACCUGUGAGCUUGUUGACUGCAAAUUCUCUGGUUCUACCCAAGACCUGCUGAAUCCGAGACUCUGGAGGCAUGGCCAUGCUAUCUGUAUUUUAACAAGCACUCCAGGGGAUUCACGGGCAUGCUUAAGUCUGAGAACCACUGGUGCAGUAUAUUACCUAGGAGCCCUGAGUAGGACACUUCAUUUAGUUUUCUGAUCCACACAAGGAGAACCCGUCCGGGCGCAUGAGGCUUGCGGGUACAGAGUGUGUCUUCCCAAGGAAGGCAGGCUACCUACCUCCCACGUGUCCGGCAUGUAACCCAUCAGCUGACUCCUGACAGUGCAGAGGCCAGAGGCCAGAC